rnacentral:lncRNA from 10 species
CUCAACCUGAAGACAGCCCUGGAAACAUGCUGAGGAGGGAAGAGCAGUCCAGCAUCGAGAGCACGUCUCCGAUUUCAAGAACUGAUGAAAUUAGAAAAAACACCUACAGAACGUUGGAUAGCCUGGAGCAGACCAUCAAACAGCUUGAAAAUACAAUCAGUGAAAUGAGUCCCAAAGCCCUAGUUGAUACCUCAGGUUCUUCCAACAGAGAUUCUGUUGCAAGUUCAUCCCACAUAGCCCAGGAGGCCUCUCCCCGGCCCUUGCUAGUUCCGGAUGAAGGCCCCACUGCCCUAGAGCCCCCUACGUCGAUACCUUCAACUUCACGUAAGGGCUCCAGCGGGGCCCCACAGACGAGCAGGAUGCCUGUCCCCAUGAGUGCCAAGAACAGACCCGGAACCCUGGACAAACCUGGCAAGCAGUCCAAACUGCAGGAUCCCCGCCAAUAUCGUCAGGUAGUUUUACCUUAAACCCAAUUUUGGAUGGACGCUAUUUCAGUUAAGAAGCAAGUCACUGACUUAGUUUAUACCAAAUAUUGUGCUUUCUUUGUAAGAUAACGGUUUACAUAGACAUCCUGGAUCUGGGGGCAUGAAGAAAGUCUAAAAACCAUUUGUUAAACUUUUUCACCACGCUUUUGCAUGCUUACAAUAAAACAUCUUUUACUUUGUGACUCCAAGCUCCAAAUUUUAACUGUUAACACACGGUGCCAGACCAGGUGGCUUUUCUUUGGUGAAUGUAGUGUUUCAUCUGAACACCUCGGGAAGCAGAGACAAACCAACCUGUGGUGGAACUGCCCUUAACGUCACCACUACUAACGUCUAUGUUGACUGUAUUGCGUUAGAAGCACAUUAACGCUCCGUCAAAAUGCCCGACCCCCACCCCAGUAAUUAUCCAGACGCAUGGCCCACCUGGCACACGGGAAAUGAUAGAGCUGGAAUCAUGGGACUCCUCUCACAAAUGCGUUCUUCCUUUCCUCCUUUCCUGUCCAUCCUUUGCUAUGUACGUGGGGGGUUUCUACCAG